GCUGUAGCUCAGUGGCAGAGCGCUUGCCUAGCAUGUGGGAGGCACUGGGUUCAAUUCUCAGUACCGCA
rnacentral:tRNA from 1 species